UUCCGGUUGAUCCUGCCGGAGGCUACUGCUCCGGGAGUCGGAUUACGCCAUGCUAGCGGAGGGCAGUUUGGCUGCUCCGUUAAUAGCUCAGUGACCCGUGGUCAAUCUACCCUUGGGACGGGGAUAACCCCGGGAAACUGGGGAUAAUCCUCAAUAUACGGGGGUUCUGGAAAUGCCCCUCGUCUCAAAGUCUUGGCGCCCAUCGAUGAGACUGCGGCCUAUUAGGGAGCUGGUGAGGUAAUGGCUCAUCAAGCCAAAAAUGGGUACUGNCCCUGAGAGGGGGAGCCCAGAGAUGGUGAGUGAGACAAGGCCCCAGUACAUACGGCGAGCAGCANGUGCGAAAAUUCCGCAAUGCUUGCAAUCGCGACGGAGUGACUCCCAGUGCCGGUGGUAUAACGAUCGCCGCCUUUUAUGAAGUGUAAAAAUCUUCCGGUAAUAAGCGCCGGCUAAUNCUGGUGCCAGUCGUCGCGUCAACAAAGCGGCCCAUGUGGUGACCGAUU
rnacentral:rRNA from 1 species